rnacentral:rRNA from 1 species
AGUGAACGCUGGCGGUAGGCCUAACACAUGCAAGUCGAACGGCAGCACAGUAAGAGCUUGCUCUUACGGGUGGCGAGUGGCGGACGGGUGAGGAAUACAUCGGAAUCUACUUUUUCGUGGGGGAUAACGUAGGGAAACUUACGCUAAUACCGCAUACGACCUACGGGUGAAAGCAGGGGAUCUUCGGACCUUGCGCGAUUGAAUGAGCCGAUGUCGGAUUAGCUAGUUGGCGGGGUAAAGGCCCACCAAGGUGACGAUCCGUAGCUGGUCUGAGAGGAUGAUCAGCCACACUGGAACUGAGACACGGUCCAGACUCCUACGGGAGGCAGCAGUGGGGAAUAUUGGACAAUGGGCGCAAGCCUGAUCCAGCCAUACCGCGUGGGUGAAGAAGGCCUUCGGGUUGUAAAGCCCUUUUGUUGGGAAAGAAAAGCAGCAGGUUAAUACCCUGCUGUUCUGACGGUACCCAAAGAAUAAGCACCGGCUAACUUCGUG